rnacentral:rRNA from 1 species
UACGUAGGGACCAAGCGUUGUUCGGAUUUACUGGGCGUAAAGGGCGCGUAGGCGGCGUGGUAAGUCACUUGUGAAAUCUCUGAGCUUAACUCAGAACGGCCAAGUGAUACUGCUGUGCUAGAGUGCAGAAGGGGCAAUCGGAAUUCUUGGUGUAGCGGUGAAAUGCGUAGAUAUCAAGAGGAACACCUGAGGUGAAGACGGGUUGCUGGGCUGACACUGACGCUGAGGCGCGAAGCCAGGGGAGCAAACGGG